rnacentral:rRNA from 1 species
ACGAACCUUCGGGUUUAGUGGCGCACGGGUGCGUAACGCGUGGGAAUAUGCCCUUCACUGCGGAAUAAUGUCUGGAAACGGACACUAAUACCGCAUAAUGACUCCGGUCCAAAGAUUUAUCGGUGAAGGAUUAGCCCGCGUCUGAUUAGUUAGUUGGUGAGGUAAUGGCUCACCAAGACGAUGAUCAGUAGCUGGUCUGAGAGGAUGAUCAGCCACACUGGAACUGAGACACGGUCCAGACUCCUACGGGAGGCAGCAGUGAGGAAUAUUGGACAAUGGGGGAAACCCUGAUCCAGCCAUGCCGCGUGAGUGAAGAAGGCCUUAGGGUUGUAAAGCUCUUUUAAUAGCGAAGAUAAUGACGGUAGCUAUAGAAAAAGCCCCGGCUAAAUUCGUGCCAGCAGCCGCGGUAAUACGAAUGGGGCAAGCGUUGUUCGGAAUCACUGGGCUUAAAGCGUGCGUAGGCGGAUAUGAAAGUCAGAAGUGAAAUCCCAGGGCUCAACCCUGGAAUUGCUUUUGAAACUCCAUGUCUAGAAUCCGGUAGGGGUCAGGGGAAUUCCUAGUGUAGAGGUGAAAUUCGCAGAUAUUAGGAGGAACACCAGUGGCGUAGGCGCCUGACUGGGCCGGUAUUGACGCUGAGGUACGAAAGCGUGGGGAUCAAACAGGAUUAGAUACCCUGGUAGUCCACGCCGUAAACGAUGUGUGCUAGCUGUCGGGUCCAUA